rnacentral:miRNA from 1 species
AAUGCAAUGUCAUAUACCAUC